AUUGAACGCUGGCGGCAUGCCUUACACAUGCAAGUCGAACGGCAGCACGGGAGCAAUCCUGGUGGCGAGUGGCGAACGGGUGAGUAAUAUAUCGGAACGUGCCCAGUCGUGGGGGAUAACGCAGCGAAAGCUGUGCUAAUACCGCAUACGAUCUAAGGAUGAAAGCGGGGGAUCGCAAGACCUCGCGCGAUUGGAGCAGCCGAUAUCAGAUUAGGUAGUUGGUGGGGUAAAGGCUCACCAAGCCGACGAUCUGUAGCUGGUCUGAGAGGACGACCAGCCACACUGGGACUGAGACACGGCCCAGACUCCUACGGGAGGCAGCAGUGGGGAAUUUUGGACAAUGGGCGAAAGCCUGAUCCAGCAAUGCCGCGUGCAGGAUGAAGGCCUUCGGGUUGUAAACUGCUUUUGUACGGAACGAAACGGCGAACUCUAAUACAGUUUGCUAAUGACGGUACCGUAAGAAUAAGCACCGGCUAACUACCUGCCAGCCGCCGCCGUAA
rnacentral:rRNA from 1 species